CUAUGCCUGAGUUUUUAUGCCAAGGGUUGCACAAGCCUUUUUCUGGGGUUUGCAUGCUAUUCUCCACUUUUAGCUUGUUCUGUUACUGAAAAACAAAAGCUAUGAUAUUUAGCCCAAGUAUUGGUUAUUCUCAAGUUAAAUUUUGUCUUCUGGAUAUUCCAGCUAUACUCUAACUGAGAAAGUUUGCAGAACCACUUUACACCUGUGGGUACAAUGUUUUUCUUUAUUCAUAAAAUUGACAUUUAGCCUACAGAUUUUCUUGAAAUUUCAGCCAGCAUUUAGUACCCAUACCCAGGGGAUGGUGCUGGCCCAAGUCAGACCUCAUCAGAGCUCAGCAUGCAAGUAUGAGGUGGGUAAGAAAAGAGGCAAGAUACACUGUAAAGGGUACUGGUGAAAGAAGAUCAGUGAAGCAGAAAAUAAAGGCUUUACCCGGUUGUUUGGCCCCAAUCCCUCACACUUGCAAGAGCUUUAUGACAACGGUGUAAGUCCUCCUGUGGCACUUAAGGGUGCCACUUCUGGUUCUGUAGCUCUGGUGUUUGGAGAAAAUCGGCUGUGCUGUGCAUAAACUUUGCGAAAUGGAAAAUACCAGAGCACCGCUGAAUCCAAGGGAAAAAUGUUGCUAGCUGAGCAGCGUGGAAGAAGCGGCCUAAGGCAGGCAGGGGUGGCAACACGUGAACUGGUACUCUUCCUAAUAAACGCUUCUGCUUCCAGCCGGCUGCACAGUCAUGAAGGGUAAACAAGCGGUGUUCCGAAGGGGACUGUCGAUCCUCUUUUGUUGCCAGUUCAGAGAGUCCCGGUGGCUGAGUAUCAGAGUGUUCCAUCUCAUUUGCCCUUGGUGUUGCUGUAGGUAAUCUGGAAGUCUGUUUUUGAGGAGCCUGGGAUGGCAACGGGGGAGCUUCCUUCCGGGUGCUGGGACCAACUGAGCUUCACUGCCCUAGCAGCCUGGGAUGGAGGUGGGGAGCUUCCUUCCAGGUGCUGGGACCGGCUGAGCUUCACUCCCUAUCAUUUCUUCAUAUUCUUUUGGUCUAUGUGUGUUUAUGUGUCAAAUUCAAUUAAAACAACACUGAGACUUCACCUUAUUCCAGAAACAAUGCCAGUCAUCAAGACAUCAAAUAAUCACAAAUACUAGGGAGACUGUAGUGAAAAAGAAUCCUUCUACAUUGUUGGUGGGAAUGUAAACUAG
rnacentral:lncRNA from 1 species